rnacentral:rRNA from 1 species
GAUGAACGCUGGCGGCGUGCCUAAUACAUGCAAGUCGAGCGAACAGACGAGGAGCUUGCUCCUCUGACGUUAGCGGCGGACGGGUGAGUAACACGUGUAUAACCUACCUAUAAGACUGGGAUAACUUCGGGAAACCGGAGCUAAUACCGUAUAAUAUAUUGAACCGCAUUGUUCAAUAGUGAAAUACGGUGUUUCUGUCACUUAUAGAUGGAUCCGCGCCGCAUUAGCUAGUUGUUAAGGUAACGGCUUACCAAGGCAAGGAUGCGUAGCCGACCUGCGAGGGUGAUAGGCGACACUGGAACGGAGCCGGGGACAAGAGUACUGAGGGAGGGAGCAGUAGGGAAUCUGACGCAAUGGUGGAGAGCCUGACGGAGCAGGGCGGAGUGAGAGAUGGAGGUCUUGGGAUCGUAAAGCUGUGUUAUGAGGGGAGAACAAAUGUGUAAGUAAAUGUGCACGUAUUGACGGUACCGGGUCAGAAAGCCACGGCUAACUACGUG